UUCGCGAAUAGUUGUGCUUCGCUCUUAAGUACCAGGCACCAAGUCCCCAGAUGAGUAGCCAGCUUCCCUUCUUUCAUCUUGGAGCCCACAGUUCGCGCAAGUGGAGCUAUGGAAGGCCCAUGCUGUGCUGUUCUAAUCAUGGCAGUCUAGGGGUAUCACAGAAUCCUGGAGACAGCAGCAUCACUCAGAUCCUGAGGGGUUUCCACUUCAAGCAUGACCCUUUUGCCUGUGGGAUGAGCUCCAGCAUGGGGUGAGGUACAGAAGAGAGACUUGAAGAGCGUGCCUUGGGACUCAAGCGCCAAACCUGUACCCUAGCGAGUGUCCUACUCCGCAUCCGUAAUGGAAGGAAAUGCACAUCUUACUCCAGAGGCACAACAGGGGGACAUCCCAUGCGGCUACUCCUGCCCAGCGUGGUGGGGCAGCAGAAGCUCCAGAGCCCAGACUUGCAGGCUCACGGUGCAGGGUGAACCUGGCCACAGCUCACCCUGGAACAGCCACA
rnacentral:sRNA from 1 species